GAUGAACGCUAGCGGGAGGCCUAACACAUGCAAGUCGAACGGGAUUGGGAGCUUGCUCCCAUGAGAGUGGCGCACGGGUGAGUAACGCGUAUGCAACCUACCUUUAACAGAGGGAUAGCCCAUAGAAAUGUGGAUUAAUACCUCAUAGUUCUGAGAGACCGCAUGGUUUUACAGAUAAAGCUCCGGCGGUUAAAGAUGGGCAUGCGUGACAUUAGUUAGUUGGUGAGGUAACGGCUCACCAAGACUACGAUGUCUAGGGGUUCUGAGAGGAUGAUCCCCCACACUGGUACUGAGACACGGACCAGACUCCUACGGGAGGCAGCAGUGAGGAAUAUUGGUCAAUGGGCGCAAGCCUGAACCAGCCAUCCCGCGUGAAGGAUGAAGGCCCUAUGGGUCAUAAACUUCUUUUAUACACCAAGAAAAAGCAGGACGUGUCCUGCCCCCGACGGUAGUGUAUGAAUAAGCAUCGGCUAACUCCGUGCCAGCAG
rnacentral:rRNA from 1 species